UACGUAGGGUGCAAGCGUUGUCCGGAAUUAUUGGGCGUAAAGAGCUCGUAGGCGGUCUGUCGCGUCGGCUGUGAAAACUCGGGGCUCAACUCCGAGCUUGCAGUCGAUACGGGCAGGCUAGAGUUCGGUAGGGGAGACUGGAAUUCCUGGUGUAGCGGUGAAAUGCGCAGAUAUCAGGAGGAACACCGGUGGCGAAGGCGGGUCUCUGGGCCGAUACUGACGCUGAGGAGCGAAAGCGUGGGGAGCGAACAGG
rnacentral:rRNA from 1 species